CCACAAUGUGGGCAACCACGAUGGGGGAACUCCAAGUGCCUACACUUUUGUGUAGGCUGUUCUCGAGCCUAAAAAGCUCGAGAAGUAAGGGCCGGGUAAGACGGGUGCCAGCCGCCGCGGUAAUACCCGCGGCCCGAGUGGUGCUCAUUAUUAUUGAGCCUAAAGCGUCCGUAGCUGGCCGGGCAAAUCUCCGGGUAAAUCGGGCGGCUCAACCGUCCGAAUUCCGGAGACACUGCUCGGCUUGGGAUCGGGAGAGGGUGAAGGUACUCCCUGGGUAGGGGUAAAAUCCUGUAAUCCGGGGGGGACCACCAGUGGCGAAGGCGUUCACCUAGAACGAAUCCGACAGUGAGGGACGAAGCCCUAGGGCGCAAACGGG
rnacentral:rRNA from 1 species